GCGGUGUUCCGGUAUUUAUAAAAGAUGUAAAAUGCAAUUACUAAUUUACAAUCACAUGUCAAUAAUGCGUGGAAAAAAGCAACUUAAUUAAGAAGCCGAACACAUGCAUGGGGGGAUAUGACCUUUAUCGGGACUCAGGUUAUCGGGACUCAGGGAUCGGGUGUUUUUAAACUCGGGAUUUCGGGAUUGACCCUUUCAGGAUCCGGGAAUUCUUUUUUUUUUUUGGAUUUCGGGAUUUCGGAUUGUCGGGAUUAAACUUAUUAAAACUCGGGACUUCCGGAUUUCGUGUUUUUGAGCCCGGGAUUUCGGAAUCAGUACCCCUUCUAUCCCCCUCAUGCAUGCAAUUUAAAUAUUUACUCUGUGUUAAUGAAGUGGAUUAACCAACCGAAGGGCGAGGUGUCUGGGGGCCGCCUAAGGCCCCCAGUAGGUCCAGGGGGCGAAGCCUCCCGGACGCUCAGCAUAAAUAUAGCGUUUUAAAACAGUUACGACCGUAUCAAAAUUUGUACAUUUUUGUUGUGUUUUUAUUUUUAUUUUUUUGUCAAUUGUUUGUUUAACUUCGAAAUGUUCGAGUCGAAUUAAGACUUAUAAAACAU
rnacentral:lncRNA from 1 species